GACUCCUACGGGAGGCAGCAGUGGGGAAUAUUGCACUAUGGGCGAAAGCCUGAUGCAGCGACGCCGCGUGAGGGAUGACGGCCUUCGGGUUGUAAACCUCUUUCAGUAGGGAAGAAGCGAAAGUGACGGUACCUGCAGAAGAAGCGCCGGCUAACUACGUGCCAGCAGCCGCGGUAAUACGUAGGGCGCAAGCGUUAUCCGGAAUUAUUGGGCGUAAAGAGCUCGUAGGCGGUUUGUCGCGUCUGCCGUGAAAGUCCGGGGCUCAACUCCGGAUCUGCGGUGGGUACGGGCAGGCUAGAGUGAUGUAGGGGAGACUGGAAUUCCUGGUGUAGCGGUGAAAUGCGCAGAUAUCAGGAGGAACACCGAUGGCGAAGGCAGGUCUCUGGGCAUUAACUGACGCUGAGGAGCGAAAGCAUGGGGAGCGAACAGGAUUAGAUACCCUGGUAGUCCAUGCCGUAAACGUUGGGCACUAGGUGUGGGGGACAUUCCACGUUUUCCGCGCCGUAGCUAACGCAUUAAGUGCCCCGCCUGGGGAGUACGGCCGCAAGGCUAAAACUCAAAGGAAUUGACGGGGGCCCGCACAAGCGGCGGAGCAUGCGGAUUAAUUCGAUGCAACGCGAAGAACCUUACCAAGGCUUGACAUGGGCCGGAUCGCCGCAGAGAUGUGGUUUCUCCUUUUGGGGCCGGUUCACAGGUGGUGCAUGGUUGUCGUCAGCUCGUGUCGUGAGAUGUUGGGUUAAGUCCCGCAACGAGCGCAACCCUCGUUCCAUGUUGCCAGCACGUAGUGGUGGGGACUCAUGGGAGACUGCCGGGGUCAACUCGGAGGAAGGUGGGGACGACGUCAAUCAUCAUGCCCCUUAUGUCUUGGGCUUCACGCAUGCUACAAUGGCCCGGUACAAG
rnacentral:rRNA from 1 species